AGCAAAAGUAAAAUAAGAAUCAAGAUUUCGUUAUCCACUUUCAGACAUUGCAGGCUCCUCAAUCAUUUUUAUCUCAAGAAAACCAAAAACGAAAAAAAAUGGCUUCUUCUUCUCCUUCAUCUCUUCUGCUUCCACUUGGUUCUUCUUCUGGCAAAACUACUAAAAGACAUGGCACUAUUAAUGUCUUUGACAAAGUCCAAGGUUUGAUGAACAUUAAUGUGCAAUGCUCAAACUUGGACCUUAGAAUUAGAGCAAGAGAGAAGAAGAUGGAUACAAGUUUGAUGAAGAGAAGAGAUCAUGUAAUUGGGCUGGUAUUAGGGGUUUCAAGUCUUUGUAAUAUAGGCUUAUUUGAUGAUACUGCCAAAGCAGCUGGAUUGCCACCAGAAGAUAAGCCAAGAUUAUGUGAUGAAAACUGUGAGAAAGAGCUUGAAAAUGUGCCAAUGGUGACUACAGAGUCUGGAUUGCAGUUCAAGGAUAUUAAAGUUGGUCGAGGCCCUAGUCCUCCAGUUGGUUUUCAGGUUGCUGCUAAUUAUGUUGCCAUGGUUCCAUCUGGGCAAAUUUUUGACAGUUCAUUGGAGAAAGGGCAGCUCUAUAUCUUUCGUGUUGGCUCUGAUCAGGUGAUCAAGGGACUUGAUGAAGGGAUCCUGAGCAUGAAAGUUGGAGGGAAGCGGCGGCUCUACAUUCCAGGACUGUUGGCUUUCCCGAAAGGACUCACUUCAGCUCCAGGAAGGCCAAGGGUGGCACCAAAUAGUCCUGUAGUUUUCGAUGUCAGUUUGGAAUACAUACCAGGCCUUGAAGUGGAAGAAGAAUAAGACUUGAAUAAUCUCCAUCUCCCAUUUCUUAUUUCAGCCUUGCCUCUCUCCCUUUACAUGAUCUCCCCAAACAAGGUUAAAAAUCCCAUACCAUUUGGUCUGGUCCAGGUUUCUUGUCGGAUUGAGUGGGAGUUCACUCGGUCGAGCCGGUCACCUUGAUAAAUCAAAUCGUGACCAGAUUGAACCAGUCAAAACCCAGAUGAGAGCUUACUUGAUUUUUGUUUAUAACAAAAUCUUUUUAUAUUUUUUUUAAGAAAAAUCUUUAAGAAAUAUUGUUUUGAUCGACCCGAGUUGACUUGUUUAUUUUAUCACCUGAGUUACAGGUCAAAUCGAGUUUUAUAACUAGAAUCUUUCAAGAAUAGCGCACAAUAUCAAGAAAAUUCAGUAA